rnacentral:tRNA from 1 species
CAUCAGAUGACUGAAAAGCAAGUAAUGGUCUCUUAAACCAAAAUAUAGUAAAGUAGUGAUUACUUCUAAUGA